UUGAAAUUUGGGAGGGGAGAGUUGGGAUGGGGAAGAAGAAGGAGAAAUAGGGGAGGAGAGGGACGACAGAGUGGUGAUAUAUUAACUCUUACCAAUGGAAUUA